rnacentral:rRNA from 1 species
CAGUCGCCGCGGUAAUACGUAGGGUGCAAGCGUUAAUCGGAAUUACUGGGCGUAAAGCGUGCGCAGGCGGUUUGUUAAGACAGAUGUGAAAUCCCCGGGCUCAACCUGGGAACUGCAUUUGUGACUGGCAAGCUAGAGUGUGGCAGAGGGGGGUGGAAUUCCGCGUGUAGCAGUGAAAUGCGUAGAUAUGCGGAGGAACACCGAUGGCGAAGGCAGCCCCCUGGGCCAACACUGACGCUCAUGCACGAAAGCGUGGGGAGCAAACAGGAUUAGAUACCCGCGUAGUCCCUGUCUCUUAUAC